rnacentral:lncRNA from 1 species
UGGCCCCCUAUAUGGCUAUGGCUUACCCUCCCCAGCUGUGGGCACUGGAACCAGGCCAGAGCGUUUGCCUGAGAAUCCAGUGAGUCCAGAGCUCUGCUGCCGACCCCACCUCACUCCGACAGCCCAGUGCCCGUGGUCCCCCAGCCGGGCCCAUGGGCGUGCAGGAGCAGCGAAGCCUGGGGUCCCAUCCCCGACCCUGUGAUGGUUGUGAUGUCCUUUCCUGAGCCACAGUUACCUCGUGUCUUUAAAAA